UAUAAAUGUAAAGUUAAACUAGAUUAGUAUCAGUUAUGUUCUUGAAAAUUAAAAAUUUUGGCGGUUUUUUAGUCUAUUCAGAGGAACCUGUUCUAUAAAUGAUAGUCCACGAUUUGAGUGUCCUUUAUUAUUAGUUUGUAUAUCGUCGUAGUUUGAAUAUUUUAAAAGAAUUAUAAUAUUCAAAAUUUAUUUAAAUAAAAAAUAUCAGAUCAAGGUAUAGCUUAUAUAAAGGUAGAAAUGGGUUACAUUAAUUUUAAUUAUAGAUUGUUAAUUUAAAAUUAAAUAUAAAAAAGGAUUUGAUAGUAAUUUUUAAUAAAUUUUAAAAAUGAUUUUAGCUCUAAAAA
rnacentral:rRNA from 1 species